ACUCGGAAGAUCAUUCAGAGUUCAUGCCCUCACGGGUAGAUCUCCCACCCUUGAAUAUUAUACCUUCGUUGCUUUGGCAGGCCGUGGAAACACCAGAGGCUCCGGCUGAUGCGUGCCUGCCAGAGGAAACAAACUCUGUUUUUAGUGAUGUCUGAGUACUAUAUAAUAGUUAAAACUUUCAACAACGGAUCUCUUGGUUCUGGCAUCGAUGAAGAACGCAGCGAAAUGCGAUAAGUAAUGUGAAUUGCAGAAUUCAGUGAAUCAUCGAAUCUUUGAACGCACAUUGCGCCCCGUGGUAUUCCGCGGGGCAUGCCUGUUCGAGCGUCAUUUCAACCCAUCAAGCUUCGGCUUGGUCUUGGGGCCUGCGGUUUCGCAGCCUCUAAACCCAGUGGCGGUGCUAUUGAGCUCUGAGCGUAGUAAUUUCUCUCGCUAUAGAGUCUCGGUGGUGACUUGCCAACAACCCCCAAUUUUUAUCAGGUUGACCUCGGAUCAGGUAGGGAUACCCGCUGACUA
rnacentral:rRNA from 1 species